AUGCGAAACCUUUAUCAAUCAGUCUCACCUUUAUCAGUCUCACCUUUGCAACAGUUUUAUUACACUCUUGGUCAUAGUUGGGUAACCCAACUUGGGUUUCUCAUAGUCAGAUGAAUCAGUGACUCUCAGCGUAAGAGAGCGUAGUUCCUUUCUAACGAUGAGCUUAGAAAAGCACGACAUGCAACGGCCUGCUUCCUUCCACGACCGAGUCAACCCUCUCCUCGUCCACCAUAAAAUAUCACCGUGAUCGAUUUUCUCCACUUUCACUUCAUCCUGCGGAGGGACUCAGCUGCUAUUUUUUUAUUAGCCUUUGUAGAAAUGGGGGAUAGUAAGUAUAACGUGGUGUCAAAAUUUGUAGCGGUUUUGGAUUUGCGAUGGAAAGAAGAAGGAACAGACAGACAAGAUCCCAAGUCGUGGUGGUAAUUCCCUUGUUAUCCCUGGUCAUUGGUGGGCUGGGUGUUAUCUAUGCUAUACGGCUUCUUAAUGCGACCGACUCGGAGAUGAGCAGUGCUAUGACGCAAAUUCAGAAAAGAGGAACGAUUCGGAAUUGGAUUAAAGUUUCGAUCUGUAUAUGUAUUUGUAUAUUGAUUCUGGUUACAACAAUGGCCAUUGUGUCCGGGGGGUUGAGUCCAACUCUUGCUGGAGGUGCUUUGUUUGCCGUAUUGUUUAAAGUAUUUGGGAUUUCCGUAGUGUAUUUAUUUUACAAGGAUUUAGAAAUAAAUAGUGAAAUUGGAGGGGUCGAUGGAUGAAAAUAAAUAUUGGGAAAAUACAAAAAGUUUA